rnacentral:rRNA from 1 species
UACGUAGGGUGCGAGCGUUGUCCGGAAUUAUUGGGCGUAAAGAGCUCGUAGGCGGUGUGUCACGUCGGCCGUGAAAACCUGCAGCUUAACUGUGGGCGUGCGGUCGAUACGGGCAUUCACUGGAGUUCGGCAGGGGAGACUGGAAUUCCUGGUGUAGCGGUGAAAUGCGCAGAUAUCAGGAGGAACACCGGUGGCGAAGGCGGGUCUCUGGGGCC